UUUUCUUGGUCAUGAACAGGGUGUCUGUACCAUGACAACAGCCUUCCUUCACUUCUUCUUUCUGGCGUCGUUCUGCUGGGUCCUGACGGAGGCUUGGCAGUCCUACAUGGCCGUCACUGGGAAGGUCCGCACCAGGCUCAUCAGGAAGAGGUUCCUCUGUCUGGGAUGGGGAUUACCUGCCCUGGUGGUUGCCGUGUCAAUGGGAUUCACCAAAGCAAAAGGCUAUGGGACACCCCAAUAUUGCUGGCUAUCUCUAGAAGGUGGUCUCCUGUAUGCCUUUGUUGGACCGGCAGCAGCAGUGGUUCUG